CGGCGGGUGAGCAGACAAGCCUCUCAGGCUGGUGUGUGCCAGUUGGCACCGAUCUUCUGUGCGGGAAUCUCCCCACUUUACCCUCCGCACCCCUGUUGCUGUGCACUCCUCCGCAGCUCCGAAGCUCCCCUCGCCGCCUCCUGCAGUCUCCGCCCGUGAAGGGGCUUCCUAGUGUGUGGAAACUUUUCCUCCUUCACAGCUCCCUCCCACAGGUGCAGGUCUGCUCAUGGGCUUCCCUGGUGGCGCAGUGGUUGAGAGUCCGCCUGCCGAUGCAGGGGACGUGGGUUCAUGCCCCGGUCCAGGAAGAUCCCACAUGCCGCGGAGCAGCUGGGCCCGUGAGCCAUGGCCACUGGGCCUGCGCGUCCGGAGCCUGUGC